rnacentral:lncRNA from 1 species
GUGAAUGAACACUUCGCUUGGAAGGUUGCUCAUGUUGAUUAUCAGAGUAUGGCCCUAAUAAUGAGUGUAUACUUGUCCAUAAGCCUAACUGUGAGUGCAUGCUCCAACGUGCGCUAAGACGGGAGUAUACAUUAUCUCAGGGGCCUAGUUGGAAGUGUACACUACCCGAAUACUCGGUUCGUAGCUAGUUGAGGGGUUGUUUACCGGGAUGCUGUUGGAGAGGUUUGUCGUCUACCUUUGUUUUACUUUGAGACACCUUGUCUGGGGCACGUUGCAUCUCGGUGCGCUACAAAAGUUGAUUCACCAAGGUCAUCUG